GGUCAGGACGAACGCUGGCGGCGUGCCUAACACAUGCAAGUCGAGCGGAGACAGACGGAAAGCUUGCUUCUGUCUGUUCAGCGGCGGACGGGUGAGUAACGCGUGAGCAACCUGCCUUUAACAGGGGAAUAACGCAUCGAAAGAUGUGCUAAUACCGCAUAAGACCACAGCAUCACAUGGUGCAGGGGUCAAAGGAGCAAUCCGGUUAAAGAUGGGCUCGCGUCCGAUUAGCUGGUUGGUGAGACAACAGCCCACCAAGGCGACGAUCGGUAGCCGACCUGAGAGGGUGAUCGGCCACAUUGGAACUGAGAUACGGUCCAGACUCCUACGGGAGGCAGCAGUGGGGAAUAUUGGGCAAUGGGCGAAAAAGCCUGACCCAGCAACGCCGCGUGAGGGAAGAAGGGUUUCGGCUCGUAAACCUCUGUCCUAUGGGACGAAGGAAGUGACGGUACCAUAGGAGGAAGCCCCGGCUAACUACGUGCCAGCCGCCGC
rnacentral:rRNA from 1 species